rnacentral:rRNA from 1 species
GUAGGGAAUAUUGGGCAAUGGAGGCAACUCUGACCCAGCCAUGCCGCGUGCAGGAAGACGGUCCUCUGGAUUGUAAACUGCUUUUAUCUGGGAAGAAAAAGGCCAUGCGUGGCAAAUUGCCGGUACCAGAUGAAUAAGCACCGGCUAACUCCGUGCCAGCAGCCGCGGUAAUACGGAGGGUGCGAGCGUUGUCGGGAUUUAUUGGGUUUACAGGGUGCGUAGGCGGCUGAUUAAGUCCGCGGUGAAAGACUUCGGCUUAACCGGAGCAGUGCCGUUGAUACUGGUUGGCUUGAGUGUCGGAAGGGUACAUGGAAUUGAUGGUGUAGCGGUGAAAUGCAUAGAUACAAUCAGGAACACCGAUAGAGAAGGCAUUGUACUGGCCGACAACUGACGCUGAUGCACGAAAGUGUGCGGAUCGAACAGGAUUAGAAACCCGGGUAGUCC